rnacentral:lncRNA from 12 species
GGCCAAGUGUCCCUGGGAUCGCCCACCAGCCUGGGCUCUUGUCUGGGAUGGGGCCUGGCUGCUGCACGUACUCAGCAGGGAAGAGCAGGCCUGGACUCUCUGCCGGGAGCAGCGGGGCUGCUGGUGUGGAGGCAGACAGGCCCCCACAGAUCUGUCCACGCAGCAAAGCGAGUGCAUGGGUCCCCACGGGGGCUCAGGGCUCCACAGAGUCAAAGAGCAGCUUAGGUGUGAGACGCCGUCCCCUCAGCUCUGAUUCCCGUCCCUCCCCUUCAUCCUCUUGUCCCUCAAAACUGCACUGGCUCUGAGCACCAAGUCACAGAUGUGCGUGACGAUGGUUCUGGAGUUUGUGGCUGUUUGAGGAGCUGCGCCGUUUCUAGGGUAACGUGGCACAAAGAAACAUUUAGGACCUGAGUGUUCAAGGAAGCAAUAUUUAUAGAGCGUGUGCACCAUCUGUGGCCUCAUUUCUCUCCAGGUGAACUCCCUGUCCAGGUUGGAUGUCAGCAAGAAAAGGCAGAGCAGCGCUGAGCAUAUGACACUUUUCCUUUCAUUUCUAGACGUCUGUGUCGACACAUACUUCUGCAGAGCCGGCUCCGUGGGGGCGCUGACCCAGCGGGCCCAGGGGGAGGGCUCUGCAGCUGAGAAAUGGAAACCCACCAGGAAAAUCCACGAAGAGAGGAAGGGGAACCGGAGAAGCCCAGGAGGAGGAGGAGAUGCCUCCCCGGGGAACGCCCAGAUGACCAAGAGGUGCCCAGGCCUCUUAAUCCAACCCAAAAGGAAGCCACUUGUGGGCAGAUUUAUCUCCCGAGGUUUGUUUCCGGCCCUGAGUUUACCUGAGUUCGCCGGUGCACACGCAGGCGUGGCCGUCUGUCCUGACGGCGCUGCUGCCUCCUGGGUCUGAUGGAGUCCCGUCUACACCCGGAGCCCCCCUGCAGGACCCUCGUCACCGGGCCAGCCUCCCUGCUCCCGCUGGGGGAACCGGGGGGCGGCGAUGAAAGCUUUCCGCCUUUUUUUCCUGCCAAUGACCAAAUUCGAAUGUACAAUUUAAAAGCUACAUUGGCACUUUCCACCCCACUGCCUGCGAUGAUUGUGCCGAGAUUAUUAAACCCGUCAUAAAUAA